rnacentral:misc_RNA from 1 species
UUUUUUUUUUUUUUUUUUUUGGGGGGGAACCCCCGCGCAUCCUAAUGCGAGACAUGAAAUUAUACGAGCUCCAAAGUAAUUAAAAACAAAAUGAAAACAUGUUAGUUCUGUUGAUACCACUCUUAUCAAACAGAUUCAGAUUAUUUUCCAACUCAUUACCAGGAUCAAAUCCAUACAGACACCAAACAAGUCAAACAAGAACAAAGAAGAAGAUCACUGCUUUCCUCACAAUUCAAGGAAAGAAACCCCAUGCAUAAAUCAAGCAGCCAUUGGAUGGUUAUAAACAUACUCAAUGGCAAGAUUACAGGAGUCAAUCUUAACUGC